AGCGAACGCUGGCGGCAGGCCUAAAACAUGCAAGUCGAACGCCUGUAGCAAUACAGGAGUGGCAGACGGGUGAGUAACACGUGGGAACGUACCCUUGGUUCGGAACAACACAGGGAAACUUGUGCUAAUACCGGAUAAGCCCUUACGGGGAAAGAUUUAUCGCCAGAGGAUCGGCCCGCGUCUGAUUAGCUUGUUGGUGAGGUAACGGCUCACCAAGGCUACGAUCAGUAGCGGUCUGGANAGGAUGAUCAGCCACACUGGGACUGAGACACGGCCAGACUCCUACGGGAGGCAGCAGUUAGGAAUCUUGGACAAUGGGCGCAAGCCUGAUCCAGCCAUGCCGCGUGAGUGAUGAAGGCCUUAGGGUUGUAAAGCUCUUUCAGCGGGGAAGAUAAUGACGGUACCCGCAGAAGAAGCCCCGGCUAACUUCGUGCCAGCCGCCGCUGUAAC
rnacentral:rRNA from 1 species